UGAAUCCAACAGAUGGGACAAUCUGGGCAUUCACUGGCCCGGCUAUAGCAAUCGUACUCGUCAACGUAGUUAUUCUCCUACUGGUUGUAAAGACAGUUGUGUCUGCAUCUCGAGGUCAACUCGACAACGAUAAGAUCAAGCAAAUCAAAGCUGGACUUCGGAGCACUUUGUUGCUCUUCCCCCUGCUUGGUAUCGCUUGGAUAUUGACACCUGUAGUGGCAGUUUUCCCUCACGUCAAGGCGUUGGAAUACACCUUCAACCUGCUCAAUUCUCUUCAGGGGUUCUUCGUCGCAUGGCUCUAUUGCUUUCUCAAUUCGGAGGUUCGAAACGCCAUCAGAGAGCAUGUUCGCAAAUCUCGUGAAAGCAGGGCUUCGAUCACCAAUCCCA